CUGAUACUGUUGCAGUAAUUAAUCCACACCAGGAAAUAUCGAUUAUCCCUCCACCGCUUGUCUUAGCAAGUAUUUAUCAGUAAGGUCGAUAGCCGUAUUCGCAAUGAAACUACAUUUUAGCUGAAACUAUAAUGCCACAAAGUUUGAUGAUUCCAGUGGAGGUGCUUAUAGAAGAAUAAAAAGUGUCUAACUUGUUGGAAUAGAGCCCGAUGACAGCAGGGACAC